rnacentral:rRNA from 1 species
AGCGAACGUUAGCGGCGGGCCUAACACAUGCAAGUCGAACGAGAAUGUAGGCUUCGGUCUACUAGUAAAGUGGCGGACGGGUGCGUAACACGUGGGUAAUCUACCUUCCGGCGGGGGACAACAGUCCGAAAGGAUUGCUAAUACCGCAUACGUCAGCGGUGCCUACGGGCACUGUUGGGAAAGAUGGCCUCUCCUUGGAAGCUGUCACCGGAAGAUGAGCCCGCGUGCCAUCAGCUCGUUGGUGAGGUAAUGGCUCACCAAGGCUAAGACGGGUAGCUGGUCUGAGAGGAUGAUCAGCCACACUGGGACUGCGACACGGCCCAGACUCCUACGGGAGGCAGCAGUGGGGAAUAUUGGGCAAUGGGCGAAAGCCUGACCCAGCCACGCCGCGUGAGUGAUGAAGGCCUUCGGGUCGUAAAGCUCUGUGGGGAGGACGAACAAGUUCUGGGCUAAUCACCAGGACCCUGACGGUACCUCCUUAGCAAGCACCGGCUAACCCUGUGCCAGCAGCCGCCGUAAUAC